ACUUUUCUGCAAUGUCAUCCGACGAUGAUGAAAGGAAUACGAUGAUAAUAACAUUGUUCAACAAAGGCUUAAAACAAAAGGAAAUCAGCUGUGUACUCAAUUCAUAUGGGCAUAAAAUAAGUGAGAGGCAUCUGAGACGAGUUUUAAAACUUCUAGGGUUGAAGCGAAGAUGCCCCCAACGACCUUUUACUGAAAUCCACAAAGCAGUGGAGAGUGAGAUGAAACAGUGUUCUCCUGAACAAGGAAUCAGGGCAAUGGUAAAGCGGGUAAGGGAUGUCAGAGGAGUGCGGCCUUGUUACAGAGACGAUGUUGCUAAUAUAAUGAGGGAUAUGGAUGCAAGUGGUCUUCAGAGGAGAUCUCCUGGAAAGAAGAAAAUUCCCCGUCGGAAUUACAUCAGCCGUGGUCCAAAUGACACCUGGCACAUUGAUGGCAAUGAUAAACUGAAGUUCUUUGGAAUGUGGAUACAUUUGGGGAUUGAUGGAUUUUCCAGGAAGGUUCUAUGGCUAAAGGUGGGCACAUCCAACCGCAAACAAACUUUGUGGCCAGAUACUUCUUUGAGGCUGUUCAAGAACAGGGUGGUAUGCAAUAUACUUAAAAAGGGGGUUAAAAAAAGAUUACAUUUUGGUUAUAAAUUUAUUUUUUCAUCAUUCACUAAUUAUCUUCAGUUUGUGUCUUUAGGCUGUCCUCAAAUGAUUCGGGGGACAGAGGAAAGGAGAACCUUGUUGUUGGUCAAAUGCAGAUGGCAUUUCACAUGCGAGAUCUUGGGAAUCAGGCAUGGAGGUGCUUCAGAAUGGGGACAUCAGUGCACAACCAGGUAUGUCUUUAAGCUGGUAAAUGACUAUUUCUAAAGUAACAACCUGACAACAAACUGAUAAUGUCAUGUUUAUGUUGUUUAGAGAGCUGAAUGUUUUAACAGUAUUUUAAAGCGGACAUGGAUUAAGAAAUGGCUGACAACAUUUGAGGUAAAGCAAAUCUUUCACCUGUAAAACCUAAUAACAAAGACUAGCCAUCAAAAUUGCGCUAAACAUACGAUGGAUUAGUUUAUCUGAAAACACUAUGCUGGAAUUUUUUUUUUUUUUGUACAUCUGUACCUUUUCACUGAUGAAAUGCUCACCUUCACAACUUAUGUCUUUUCAAACCACAUGCUUAGGCCAUGAUGGAGUCUGGGAUCCUUGAACUGGACAAUCCUGUGCACAUGUAAGUCAAUAUUUUAGACAUGAAAAAUGAUCAAGCAGCAGUAUGAAAGUAUGUGGUCUAGGAAUGCCUUUGUUUUUUGAGUACUGAUUAAAAAUUAGCUUUUACAUAUUCUUCCUCAAAGAAGCAGAUGAACAUAUUAACUUUUUAAUUAUCCUUUUUCAUAGCAACUGCUUGCAGUACUCACACUUGCCACUGCUUCAAAGAGACUUAAAAACGGAGCAAACAGUUUGGAACACCCAUGACAUCCGCAAGCAACGCAAUGCACCAGGUCCAUUUGGGAAACCCGACCUUCUGUUUACCUCACCACCUCCUGGUAUGUCAUUUGAAAGUCUGUGGGGUUUUUUUCUUUUUUUUCUUUUAACUUUCAUUAGUUUACUUUUACUUUAAUAUAGCACUCUUCACAGGAUAAAAACCACAAAGUGGCUUCACAAUAAUAUAAAACAGACAUAACAGCACAAUCGAACAUACAGAAUAAAUACAAUCAAGGAAACAUAAUGAUGUAGGGCAGAGCAUUUCAUGACCUGGGAGCCACCGUUCUGCAAGAUCUAUUGCCUCUGGUCUUCUGGUGGGACUACUAACAGCCAUUGAUUAGAUGAUCACAGGCUGGGAGAGGGAGUGUGGGGUUCUAUAAGAUCAGAAAUGUAGGCAGGAGCUUCACGAUUCGGAGCUUUGAAAGUCAUUACUAAAAUUUUAAAAUGAUUUUUCUAAAAUAUACUGGAAUCCAGUGUAAUGAGCGUAAAACUGUUAUAAUGUGCUUUCUUUUAUUUGUCUUCCUAAGAAGCUUACUUCUGGUACAAUCUGAGAUUUCUGAAUUUCUACUGUCAAUACAAAUAUGGCUUCAUAUUGGCACCUUUAACUAAAAAUUAAUCAAAAUGUUUGAGUGAUAUUUACAUCUUUCAGUUUCUGCAAUAACAUCUGUAAAAACUGACUGCUUAUUAUACAGGUUGUAGAACAGCUUUAUGAUUAUUCAUUUAUUUUUAACAUUCCAAAGUGAACAUCUUUUCAAUAUUGUCUUUCAUUCGCAGGAUAUGGCAAUGUGCUGCACAUAGUUGACCCAGACCUUUUAGACUACGCCAAGCAAUUAAUCUGUGAGGUGGAAGAGCCUUCACUGGUAGCAAACCAGGAAUUCAGAGACAUGUGCCAGAACAUUUUAGAA
ensembl:lncRNA